rnacentral:rRNA from 1 species
UGCUGCCGAGAAAAGCAUCGACGCGAGGUUGCAGCCGCCCGUACCCGAAACCGACUCAGGUGGUCAGGUAGAGAAUACCAAGGAGAUCGAGAGAAUCGUGGUUAAGGAACUCGGCAAAAUGCCCCCGUAACUUCGGGAGAAGGGGGGCCGGACACGUGACCGGAUUUACUCCGUGAGCGUUGAAGGCCGCAGAGACCAGUGGGAAGCGACUGUUUACUAAAAACACAGGUCCGUGCGAAGUCGCAAGACGAUGUAUACGGACUGACGCCUGCCCGGUGCUGGAAGGUUAAGAGGAAGGGUUAGCCUUUGGGCGAAGCUCUGAAUUUAAGCCCCAGUAAACGGCGGUGGUAACUAUAACCAUCCUAAGGUAGCGAAAUUCCUUGUCGGGUAAGUUCCGACCUGCACGAAUGGCGUAACGACUUCCCAGCUGUCUCAACCGCGAACUCGGCGAAAUUGCACUACGAGUAAAGAUGCUCGUUACGCGCAGCAGGACGGAAAGACCCCGUGACCUUUACUACAGUUUGGUAUUGGUGUUCGGAGUGGCUUGUGUAGGAUAGGUGGGAGACUGUGAAGCGGGCACGCUAGUGUUCGUGGAGUCAUUGUUGAAAUACCACUCUGGUCACUUUGGAUGUCUAACGUAGGACCCUGAUCGGGUUCAUGGACAGUGCCUGAUGGGUAGUUUAACUGGGGCGGUUGCCUCCCAAAGAGUAACGGAGGCGCCCAAAGGUUCCCUCAACCUGGUUGGCAAUCAGGUGGCGAGUGUAAGUGCACAAGGGAGCUUGACUGUGAGACUGACAGGUCGAGCAGGGACGAAAGUCGGGACUAGUGAUCCGGCAGUGGCUUGUGGAAGCGCUGUCGCUCAACGGAUAAAAGGUACCUCGGGGAUAACAGGCUGAUCUUGCCCAAGAGUCCAUAUCGACGGCAUGGUUUGGCACCUCGAUGUCGGCUCGUCGCAUCCUGGGGCUGGAGUAGGUCCCAAGGGUUGGGCUGUUCGCCCAUUAAAGCGGUACGCGAGCUGGGUUUAGAACGUCGUGAGACAGUUCGGUCCCUAUCCGCUGCGCGCGUUGGAAAUUUGAGAAGAUCUAUCCCUAGUACGAGAGGACCGGGAUGGACGAACCUCUGGUGUGUCAGUUGUUCUGCCAAGGGCACCGCUGAUUAGCUACGUUCGGACCGGAUAACCGCUGAAAGCAUCUAAGCGGGAAGCCGUCUUCGAGAUGAGAUUUCCAUGCACCUUGAGUGUGAGAGGCUCCCAGCAGACUACUGGGUUGAUAGGCCGGAUGUGGAAGCGGGGACUAACGACCCGUGGAGCUGACCGGUACUAAUAAGCCGAAGACUUGAUAAC